rnacentral:rRNA from 1 species
GACGAACGCUGGCGGCGUGCUUAACACAUGCAAGUCGAACGGAAAGGCCCUGCUUUUGUGGGGUGCUCGAGUGGCGAACGGGUGAGUAACACGUGAGUAACCUGCCCUUGACUUUGGGAUAACCUCAGGAAACUGGGGCUAAUACCGGAUAGGAGCUCCUGCUGCAUGGUGGGGGUUGGAAAGUUUCGGCGGUUGGGGAUGGACUCGCGGCUUAUCAGCUUGUUGGUGGGGUAGUGGCUUACCAAGGCUUUGACGGGUAGCCGGCCUGAGAGGGUGACCGGCAAAAUUGGGACUGAGAUACGGCACAGACUCCUACGGGAGGCAGCAGUGGGGAAUAUUGCACAAUGGGCGGAAGCCUGAUGCAGCAACGCCGCGUGCGGGAUGACGGCCUUCGGGUUGUAAACCGCUUUCGCCUGUGACGAAGCGUGAGUGACGGUAAUGGGUAAAGAAGCACCGGCUAACUACGUG